GUAGUUUUUAAGAUAAUUAUUUAAAAAUACAACCUACUGAUGAAAAAUUCGAAAGAAUCAUCUAUCCACAAAUAUUCUUGUUAUCCUAAUUUUUAAAUCCCAAAAAAAUGAAAACUUUCCAAAAAUAACAGUUUUUAAGAAAAUUAUUUUAAAAUACAACUUAUUGAUGAAAAUUUCUUAAAGAGUAUUCGUCUUUCCACAAAUACUCUAGUUAUCCUAAUUUUUAAAUCACAAACCCUAAUCAACAAUAUUUCUCUAAAAAAUGAAAACUUUCUAAAAAUAGCAGUUUUUAAGAAAAAUUAUUUAAAAAUACAACAUUUUGAUGAAAAAUUCUUAAAGAUUAUUCAUCUUUCCACAAAUAGUCUAAUUGUCCUAAUUUUUAAAUCACAAACCCAAAUCUACAAUAUUUCUCUAAAAAAUGAAAACUUUCUAAAAAUAGCAGUUUUUAAGAAAAAUUAUUUAAAAAUACAACAUUUUGAUGAAAAAUUCUUAAAGAUUAUUCAUCUUUCCACAAAUAGUCUAAUUGUCCUAAUUUUUAAAUCACAAACCCAAAUCUACAAUAUUUCUCUAAAAAAUGAAAACUUUCUAAAAAUAGCAGUUUUUAAGAAAAAUUAUUUAAAAAUACAACAUUUUGAUGAAAAAUUCUUAAAGAUUAUUCAUCUUUCCACAAAUAGUCUAAUUGUCCUAAUUUUUAAAUCACAAACCCAAAUCUACAAUAUUUCUCUAAAAAAUGAAAACUUUCUAAAAAUAGCAGUUUUUAAGAAAAAUUAUUUAAAAAUACAACAUUUUGAUGAAAAAUUCUUAAAGAUUAUUCAUCUUUCCACAAAUAGUCUAAUUGUCCUAAUUUUUAAAUCACAAACCCAAAUCUACAAUAUUUCUCUAAAAAAUGAAAACUUAAAAAAAAAAAUAGCAGUUUUUAAGAAAAUUAUUCCAAAAUACAACCUAUUGAUGAAAAAAUCCGAAAGAAUACUCAUCUAUCCACAAAUAUUCAUUUUGUACUAAUUUCUAAAUCACAAACCCAAAUCUAUAAUAUUUCUCUAAAAAUGAAAAAUUUCCAAAAUAGCAGUUUUUAAGAAAAUUAUUUAAAAAUACAAACUGUUGAUGAAAAACCCCGAAAGAAUACACAUCUAUCCACAAAUAUUCUUGUUGUCCUAAUUUCUUAAUCACAAACCCAAAUCUAUAAUAAUUCUCUAAAAAUGAAUACUUUCCAAACAUAGCAGUUUUUAAGAAAAUUAUUUAAAAAUACAACAUAUUGAUGAAAAACUCUUAAAGAUUAUUCAUCUUUCCAUAAAUAGUCUAAUUGUCCAAAUUUUUAAUCACAAACCCAAAUCUACAAUAUUUCUCUAAAAAAUGAAAACUUUCCAAAAAUAGUAGUUUUUAAGAAAAUUAUUUAAAAAUACAACAUAUAGAUGAAAAUUUCUUAAAGAGUAUUCGUCUUUCCACAAAUAGUCUUGUCAUCCUAAUUUUUAAAUCACAAACCCUAAUCUACAAUAUUUCUCUAAAAAACGAAAACUUUUCAAAAAUAGUAGUUUUUAAGAAAGUUAUUUAAAAAUAUAACCUACUAAUGAAAAACUCCGAAAUAAUACUCAUCUAUCCACAAAUAUUCUUUUUGUCCUAAUUUCUAAAUCACAAACCCAAAUCAAUAAUAAUUCUCUAAAAAUGAAUACUUUCCAAAUAUAGCAGUUUUUAAAAAAAUUAUUUAAAAAUACAACCUAUUGAUGAAAAAUUCCGAAAGAAUACUCAUCUAUCCACAAAUGUUCUUUUUGUCCUAAUUUCUAAAUCACAAACCCAAAUCUAUAAUAUUUCCCUGAAAAAUGAAUUUUUUAAAAAAAUAGCAGUUUUUAAGAAAAUUAUUUAAAAUACAACAUAUUGAUGAAAAAUUCUUAAAGAUUAUUCAUCUGUCCACAAAUAGUCUGGUUGUCCUAAUUUCUAAAUCACAAACCCAAAUCUACAAUAUUUCUCUAAAAUGAAAACUUUCCAAAAAUAGCAUUUUAAAGAAAAUUAUUUAAAAAUACAAAAUAUUGAUGAAAAUUUCUUAAAGACUAUUCGUCUUUCCACAAAUAGUUUAGUUAUCCUAAUUUUUAAAUCAAAAACCCUAAUCAACAAUAUUUCUCUAAAAAAUGAAAACUUUUCAAAAAUGGCAGUUUUCAAGAAAAUUAUUUAAAAAUAUAACCUACUAAUGAAAAACUCCAAAAGAAUACUCAUAUAUCCACAAAUAUUCUUGUUGUCCUAAUUUAUAAAUCACAAACCCAAAUCUAUAAUAUUUCUCUAAAAAUGAAAUGUUUCAAAAAAUAACAGUUUUUAAGAACAUUAUUUAAAAAUACAAACUGUUGAUGAAAAACUACGAAAGAAUACUCAUCUAUCCAUAAAUAUUCUUGUUGUCCUAAUUUCUAAAUCACAAAACUCAAACCUAUAAUAUUUCUCUAAAAAAUGAAAAUUUUCUAAAAGUUGCAGUUUUUAAGAAAAUUAUUUUAAAAUAGAAACUUUUGAUGAAAAGUAUUCGUCUUUCCAUAAAUAGUCUAGUUAUCCUAAUUUUUAAAUCACAAACCCCUAAUUUUUAAAUCACAAACCCUAAUCAACAUUAUUUCUCUAAAAAAAUGAAAACUUUUCAAAAAUAGCAGUUUUUAAGAAAAUUAUUUAAAAAUAUAACCAACUAAUGAAAAACUCUGAAAGAAUACUCAUCUAUCACAAAUAUUUUUGUUGUCCUAAUUCUAAAUUACAAACCCAAAUCUAUAGUAAUUCUCUAAAAAUGAAUACUUUCCAAAUAUAGCAGUUUUUAUGAAAAUUAUUUAAAAAUACAUCCUAUUGAUGAAAAACUCCGAAAGAAUACUCAUCUAUCCACAAAUAAUCAUGUUGUCCUAAUUUCUAAAUCACAAAACUCAAUCCUAUAAUAUUUCUAUAAAAAAUAAACUUUCUAAAAGUUGCAGUUUUUAAGAAAAUUAUUUUAAAAUAGAAACUGUUGAUGAAAAACUCCAAAAGAAUACCCAUCUAUCCACAAAUAUUCUUGUUGUCCUAAUUUCUAAAUCACAAACCCAAAUCUAUAAUAUUUCUAUAAAAAAUAUAAACUUUCUAAAAAUAGCAGUUUUUAAGAAAAUUAUUUAAAAAUACAACAUAUUGAUGAAAAAUUCUUAAAGAUUAUUCAUCUGUCCACAAAUAGUCUAGUUGUCCUAAUUUUUAAUCACAAACCUAAAUCUAUAAUAUUUCUCUAAAAAAUAAAAACUUUCUAAAAAUAGCAGUUUUUAAGAAAAUUAUUUAAAAAUAUAACAUAUUGAUGAAAAAUUCUUAAAGAUUAUUUAUCUGUCCACAAAUAGUCUAGUUGUCCUAAUUUCUAAAUCAUAAACCCAAAUCUACAAUAUUUCUCUAAAAAAUGAAAACUUUCCAAAAAUAGCAGUUUUUAAGAAAAUUAUUUAAAAAUAUAACAUAUUGAUGAAAAAUUCUUAAAGAUUAUUUAUCUGUCCACAAAUAGUCUAGUUGUCCUAAUUUCUAAAUCAUAAACCCAAAUCUACAAUAUUUCUCUA
rnacentral:lncRNA from 1 species